rnacentral:rRNA from 1 species
AGUGAACGCUGGCGGUAGGCCUAACACAUGCAAGUCGAACGGCAGCACAGUAAGAGCUUGCUCUUACGGGUGGCGAGUGGCGGACGGGUGAGGAAUACAUCGGAAUCUACUUUUUCGUGGGGGAUAACGUAGGGAAACUUACGCUAAUACCGCAUACGACCUACGGGUGAAAGCAGGGGAUCUUCGGACCUUGCGCGAUUGAAUGAGCCGAUGUCGGAUUAGCUAGUUGGCGGGGUUAAGGCCCACCAAGGCGACGAUCCGUAGCUGGUCUGAGAGGAUGAUCAGCCACACUGGAACUGAGACACGGUCCAGACUCCUACGGGAGGCAGCAGUGGGGAAUAUUGGGCAAAGGGCGCAAGCCUGAUCCAGCCAUACCGCGUGGGUGAAGAAGGCCUUCGGGUUGUAAAGCCCUUUUGUUGGGAAAGAAAAGCAGCAGGUUAAUACCCCGCUGUUCUGACGGUACCCAAAGAAUAAGCACCGGCUAACUUCGUG